AACGUUGAAACAUCGGUUCCCGUGCGAUCACCGAAGUUAAGCAACGUCGAACAUAGCCAGUACCUAGAUGGGUGACGGCUUGGGAAUACCCGUUGCUGUAAG